AUUAAUGAGUCUCGUAGAAAUGCAGGGCAAGACUGUGUUAGAUUUAGAGUUUUAGUAUAUGGGGUUGUCUUUUCUUAUGUGUGGUAUGUUAAAUUCUAUGUGCUAUUUCUAUGGUUAUUUUUUUGUUUAUUGAUGAUUUGUUUGUUCUUGUUUUGUGUAUGGUUUGAAGCUGAAGUUCCCAAUUAUACUAGUUGACACAUGGGAUUGAGAUUGGGGUUAAUCUUUGUUGAUAAAGUUAGAGUCUUUAAGCCAAAAGAAGUUGAAUCAGUAUGGAAUCACAACUGGGUUUAAUUGAAAAAUCAUUUAAUGUUAAAUACUCAGAUGGGGUUAGAGAAGCUCUUGAUGAAUUGUCUGAUAGUUUUACAAUUACCGAUCCCUCUAUUUCUGGUCACCCUAUUGUUUAUGUAUCAAGGGGUUUCUUGAAAGUAUUUGGUUAUUCAAAGAAUGAGGUUUUAGGGAAGAAUGGAAGGGUAUUUCAAGGGCCUAAGACUAAUAGAAGAUCAGUUAUGGCGAUUCGAGAGGCGAUUCGUGAGGAGAGGGGUAUACAGAUUAGUUUGUUGAAUUAUAGGAAGGAUGGGACACCCUUUUGGAUGUUGUUUAAUAUGUGUCCUGUUUAUAGUGAGAAGGAUGGGAGGCUGGUUCAUUUUUUGGGAAUUCAAGUGCCUAUUUUGAGGAGGAGAAAUUCAUUAGGUGGUGGAAUUGGGAGAAAUGGAGGAGUAUGUUAUGAUGGAGGUAAUUGCAGGGGGUAUGUCUAUAAGUGUUGUAGGAGGGAGGUUUGCUCGAAUUCGAUGAUGGAAAUGGACAGAGCGUUAUCGGUUGAUUCAGUUUCAGGGUUGGACCAUACAGAAGUAGAUGUUGAAGGACCUUGUGAAGCAAGUGAUCAAGAGAAGACAAAAGCCAGUGUUGCUGUCAACAACAUAAUGUCCGUGUUGGCAAACUACAGUGAGUUGAAUGGCAGACUGGUCAGUGACAGGAGAUGCUGUCAAUCGGGAACGAGUCUGCUCAGUGCAUCCUUAAAUAUAUCUUUUGGUAGAAUAAAACAAAGCUUUGUAUUAACUGACGCACACUUACCAGACAUGCCAAUUGUCUAUGCAAGUGAUGCCUUCCUAAAAUUAACAGGCUACUUGAGACAUGAAGUAUUGGGUCGUAAUUGCCGGUUUUUAAGUGGGGAAGAUACAGAGAGAGGCACACAAUUUCAGAUAAAACAAUGCAUCCAAAAUGAACAACCGUGUACUGUACAUAUCUUAAAUUACAGAAAAGAUGGAACGUCAUUUUGGAAUUUUCUUCACAUCUCACCGAUCCGAAGUGCUUCAGGAAAGGUCGCGUAUUUUGUUGGCAUUCAGAUAGAAGAUACUACCGAGGCUCGGGAGAAACAAGGGCUAAAUCCGGAAAUGAGGCAUCGCAGUGUUGUCGCUGCUGUAAAGGUGGCUGUGAGAGGGUGGUCAAUGGGUGCAAGUACCUCCUAGUUCAUGAAGAAAUUUGUGUUUUGCUUUUUUUGGUUCUGAUAAACAAACUGGACUCUGCUGAAAAAAAUGUACUCUUGUUAGCUCAUUG
rnacentral:misc_RNA from 1 species